UGAGGAAUCUUGCGCAAUGGGGGCAACCCUGACGCAGCCACGCCGCGUGCUGGAAGACGGCCCUAUGGGUUGUAAACAGCUUUUGGGCGGGAAGAACCCGGGCCGUUCGCGGCCCGCUGACGGUACCGCCCGAAUAAGCACCGGCUAACUCCGUGCCAGCAGCCGCGGUAAUACGGAGGGUGCAAGCGUUGUCCGGAAUUAUUGGGUGUAAAGGGUGCGCAGGCGUCCCGGCAGGUUUUCGGUGAAAUCUUCCCGCUCAACGGGAGAAGGGCCGGAAAAACCGCCGGGAUUGAGUCCGGAAGAGGCCGGCGGAACUGGUGGUGUAGCGGUGAAAUGCACAGAGAUCACCAGGAACACCAGUGGCGAAAGCGGCCGGCUGGUCCGGCACUGAUGCUGAGGCACGAAAGCGUGGGCAGCGAACAGGAUUAGAUACCCCGGUAGUCC
rnacentral:rRNA from 1 species